rnacentral:rRNA from 1 species
AUUGAACGCUGGCGGCAUGCUUUACACAUGCAAGUCGAACGGUAACAGGGAGCUUGCUCCGCUGACGAGUGGCGAACGGGUGAGUAAUGUAUCGGAACGUACCCAAGAGUGGGGGAUAACGUAGCGAAAGUUACGCUAAUACCGCAUACGAUCUAUGGAUGAAAGUGGGGGACCUUCGGGCCUCAUGCUCCAGGAGCGGCCGAUAUCUGAUUAGCUAGUUGGUGAGGUAAAGGCUCACCAAGGCGACGAUCAGUAGCUGGUCUGAGAGGACGACCAGCCACACUGGGACUGAGACACGGCCCAGACUCCUACGGGAGGCAGCAGUGGGGAAUUUUGGACAAUGGGGGCAACCCUGAUCCAGCAAUGCCGCGUGAGUGAAGAAGGCCUUCGGGUUGUAAAGCUCUUUUGUCAGGGAAGAAACGGUUCAGGCUAAUAUCCUGGGCUAAUGACGGUACCUGAAGAAUAAGCACCAGCUAACUACGUGCCAGCCGCCGCGGUAA